UACGGAGGGAGCUAGCGUUGUUCGGAAUUACUGGGCGUAAAGCGCGCGUAGGCGGCUUUGUAAGUUAGAGGUCAAAGCCCGGGGCUCAACUCCGGAACUGCCUUUAAGACUGCAUCGCUUGAAUCCGGGAGAGGUGAGUGGAAUUCCGAGUGUAGAGGUGAAAUUCGUAGAUAUUCGGAAGAACACCAGUGGCGAAGGCGGCUCACUGGACCGGUAUUGACGCUGAGGUGCGAAAGCGUGGGGAGCAAACAGG
rnacentral:rRNA from 1 species